GAUACUAAACCUUAGCAAAUUAGUAAGGUUAUAGUAUAAGUUAUGCUUGAUUGAGCUCGAGACGUUUUGUGCAGAAUAGAUGUAAAAAAAACAGACUUUAAAACUCAAGUUUCAAAGUAGAGGACUAAAGUUGAAUAUCGUAAUAGGUGAGGGGCUUUUGGAUAAUUGUCACCUUUCAACCUUAUCCCACCGCCUUAAUUAGGAUAAGGUGGCAGGUGCUACUAAUUAAGGUUGCUAUCCUCUCUCUCUCUUUAUGUUAGCUCGUGGGCACGGUGGAGAGCUCGAGCUCGGGAGGUUUUCGUCGUCGACGUUGCGCCGCAGUGCCGUUCGAGCGUGCGUUCGUCGUCGUAGCAUUGUGAGGAGGCCGGGCGAAGGUGUGAUUUCGUCAUUCUCGACGCCGUGCCGGAAUUGGAGUCGCUGGUUGAGGAUCUUGUCGUCGACUGUUAGUAUUUCACCUCGUACGCGACGUAGGAGCAUCGGAUUUCGACGAGAUUUGGUUCGUUGGAACCGGGACUUCGAGACGAAUCCAUAGGAUUCUUACUCGCCCGAUUUGGAGAAGCAUCGACCCGCCGUGUUUUACCUAGUUCUCUGUGUAGGAGUGUCGAAACGCGACGAAAUUUGACGUGCUAGAUUCACGACUUCGAGACGAAGAUUCUGAGCCCAAGAUCGCGAUUUUUGGAGCAGGUUCCAGCGUCGACGUUUCGUAUUCUGGCCCGUUCUCUGCGUAGGAGCGUCGGAAUUCAGCGAAACCUGGGCCAUUGGAUUCGUGACUUCGAGACGAAGCUUCAGGACCCUUGUUUGCUGAAUUUGGAUAAGGUUAGCUUGGUCGGAUUUAACGCUUUCUUCGCUGCCAGGAGUUGCUUGAGAGAGCCACAGGUGUCGGCUGCUGCAUCUUCUGCCGAUCAGGAUCGAGGCAAGGGCGUUGCG